AAGGGAGACCUAAUUCAGGUAUGGGACGAAAAAAAAGUAGUCGCUACCAAGAAUCAAUCCCAAAAGGUCGGAGCGAGGCGAAAUUGGCUUUCAAACUAGGUUCUGGGUUCAAACAAGACCUGAAUCAGGAACAAGGGCUAUUAGCUCAGGUGGUUAGAGCGCACCCCUGAUAAGGGUGAGGUCCCUGGUUCGAGUCCAGGAUGGCCCACCUGCACAGGUGGCAAAAACAAAGAAAAAAAGCUCCGAAUCAGCACCUUAUCUUACUUAUACAGUAAGAGAGAAUGCUGGCUCUGAGUUCAGAGUUCAGAGGAACCUUGAAAACUGCAUAGAGCUAGGUGAAAAAGCCAAAAAAGAAGACCGCAA
rnacentral:tRNA from 1 species